CAAUAGCGUAUAUUAAAGUUGUUGCAGUUAAAAAGCUCGUAGUUGGAUUUCUGGGAGGGUGCCGCCGUCCGGCGUGUCCGUGUGCAGUGGCGCCCUUCCAUCCUUCUGUUAGCGUCUCUUGGCAUUCAUUUGCUGGUGGCGGGCUCAGAUAUUUUACCUUGGGAAAAUUAGAGUGUUUCAGGCAGGCUAGGCCGGAAUACAUUAGCAUGGAAUAAUGGAAUAGGACUACGGUCUCUUUGUUGGUUUGAGGGACUGCAGUAAUGAUUAAUAGGGAUAGUUGGGGGCAUUAGUAUUUAAUUGUCAGAGGUGGAAUUCUCAGAUUUGUUAAAGACUAACUUAUGCGAAAGCAUUUGCCAAGGAUGUUUUCAUUAA
rnacentral:rRNA from 1 species